GACGAACGCUGGCGGCGUGCCUAAUACAUGCAAGUUGAGCGAUGAAGAUUGGUGCUUGCACCAAUUUGAAGAGCAGCGAACGGGUGAGUAACGCGUGGGGAAUCUGCCUUUGAGCGGGGGACAACAUUUGGAAACGAAUGCUAAUACCGCAUAACAACUUUAAACAUAAGUUUUAAGUUUGAAAGAUGCAAUUGCAUCACUCAAAGAUGAUCCCGCGUUGUAUUAGCUAGUUGGUGAGGUAAAGGCUCACCAAGGCGAUGAUACAUAGCCGACCUGAGAGGGUGAUCGGCCACAUUGGGACUGAGACACGGCCCAAACUCCUACGGGAGGCAGCAGUAGGGAAUCUUCGGCAAUGGAAGAAAGUCUGACCGAGCAACGCCGCGUGAGUGAAGAAGGGUGUCGGAUCGUAAAACUCUGUUGGUAGAGAAGAACGUUGGUGAGAGUGGAAAGCUCAUCAAGUGACGGUAACUACCCAGAAAGGGACGGCUAACUACGUG
rnacentral:rRNA from 1 species